rnacentral:rRNA from 1 species
GACGAACUGUCCUAACGUUGUUCGGAAUCACUGGGCUUAAAGGGCGCGUAGGCGGUCCGACAAGUCAGGGGUGAAAUCCUGCAGCUUAACUGCAGAAGUGCCUCUGAUACUGUCGGUCUGGAGGGAGAUAGGGGUGUGCGGAACUUCCAGUGGAGCGGUGAAAUGCGUUGGAUAUUGGAAGGAACGCCGGAGGCGAAAGCGGCGCACUGGAUCUCUUCUGACGCUGAGGCGCGAAAGCUAGGGGAGCAACGGG